rnacentral:rRNA from 1 species
CCCUUAUAUGUCCUGGGCUGCACGCGUGCUACACUGAUGCAUACAACAAGUUCCUAGCCCGACAGGGUGUGGCAAUCUCGAAUAUGCAUCGUGAUGGGAAUAGAUCUUUGCAAUUAUAGAUCUUGAACGAGGAAUUCCUAGUAAAUGUAAGUCAUCAUCUUACAUUGAUUAUGUCCCUGCCCUUUGUACACACCGCCCGUCGCACCUACCGAUUGAAUGGUCCGGUGAAAUCUUGGGAUUUUGUUUUGUUUGCAUUUAUUUGUAUCGAGACGAGAGAACUUGAGUAAACCUUACCAUUUAGAGGAAGGUGAAGUCGUAACA